GUUCUUGUAGCUUACCCACCAAAGCCCUGGUCUUGUAAACCAAAACAGAAAUAAAUUUCCAAGAGCA
rnacentral:tRNA from 1 species